GAUGAAGAACGUAGCGAAAUGCGAUAAGUAAUGUGAAUUGCAGAAUUCAGUGAAUCAUCGAAUCUUUGAACGCACAUUGCGCCCCCUGGUAUUCCGGGGGGCAUGCCUGUUCGUGCGUCAUUUCACCACUCAAGCCUCGCUUGGUAUUGGGCAACGCGGUCCGCCGCGUGCCUCAAAUCGACCGGCUGGGUCUUCUGUCCCCUAAGCGUUGUGGAAACUAUUCGCUAAAGGGUGUUCGGGAGGCUACGCCGUAAAACAACCCCAUUUCUAAGGUUGACCUCGGAUCAGGUAGGGAUACCCGCUGAACUUAAGCAUAUCAAUAAGCGGAGGA
rnacentral:misc_RNA from 1 species